AGGUUACCACUCUGGCUCAAGCAGCUGUGCUGGCGGAUGAUUUUGCAUUGACUCACCGUGACAUGCAGUCCACCAGAUCAUACGAUGGUCUUAGAAACAGCGCUCCCUUCCGGGCUAAACCAAGGCCUGUUGUGGCAGGGCCUAACCCUGCGUCUCCCCCAAGGAGUCCUAGUGUUGCGUCUGGUGGAAAGUCUGACAUUGUGUGUUUUUACUGCAGAAAGCCUGGACACAAGAUCUGACUGUCAUGCAUACAAGAAUGACCAGUUUAAGACUGUAGCUUUGGUUGCAGUUUCACAAUGCAGGACUCGCUGUGGCUGUGGAGUUGGAAGUGCCGUUCGCAUGGUAUGUUUUAGUGAGAAGGCGGACUACUCUCUGUUUAUAACCAUAGGGUCAGUGUCUCUGCCAGGCCAAAGAAGUGUGCCUGUGCAUAUACUGAGGGAUACAGGGGCUGCUCAGUCUAUCCUGUUGGAGGGAGUGGUGCCUCUCUCAGCCAGGACUGCCACAGGAAGUCAUGCACUGGUUAGAGGCAUUGAAAUGGGUUUUCUAAAGGUACCUUUACAUCGUGUCAUGUUCUCCUCUGGCUUAGUCACCGGCAUCGUAGUGGUUGGUGUGUGUGCAUCUCUGCCUGUGCCUGGGGUGGAGUUCAUUCCAGGUAAUGACUUAGCCGGGGGAAAUGUCUGGGAACCCACUAAGGUGGCACUGCCACACGUUAUGGUAUGCGUUCCUCCAGUGUCUGACACGCCAGAUGGGUGCGUAAAGUAUUUCCCUCCUGUUUUCCCCGCUUCUGCUGUUCCUAGAGCUAAACAGCUCCAGGAAGCUGAGGCACAGGAGCGUUUAAGUUGUCUUUCUGAGGUUACCAGUCAGACUGACACAGGGAAAGAAGAGGAUUGUGUUAAUGGCAGUUCAGUUGAGGUGACUGAAUCUGGCCCAGUGGAGUUGAACCACGUCAUAGUGUCGCUGACUUCUGGGAGUCAGACACUGAGUGGAGCACUAAGCAGCUUCCUGCUAAUGUGCUGGGCUAUGUCGGUGGCUCUAGGUACCGUCUCUAUCAAACCCGUGCUGCCGCAAGGAAAGCGUUACCGCAAUCAAAGUGUAAGAUGCAGCGCCCUUUCAAUCGCAAGGCUGCGGCACAGUGUUUUGAGAAAGGGGAUCAGGUCCUAGACUUGCUGCCCGUCAUUAAUAGUCCUUUUCAAGCCUGUUUUGCUGAUCCCUACACUAUUGGGAAGUGGUGUUCGGUUCACAACUAUUUAAUUAGCAGGCCACGCCAUAAAAGAAGGUGCUGGUUUGAGCAAUAGUGGUUCUGUGACUUGUUCUCCUCUUGUCUCCUCUUUUCCAAGGACCCAGGAUGGGGAGGCCUGAAGAUAGGUCAGGUUUUUUUUCAGGUUUCCUGGGAGGAACCUUCUUGGGGAGAGAGGUGUUAUGACCCCCUGUGCCCCUGCACACCCCGUCUGCAGUCCCUGUACUAGCCAUACGGAGGCAGCAGUUUGUGGGCCUGCAGCGGGAAACUGAUUAGCGGUGAUUACCCACACCUGCCGCCAGGAGUGAGUAUAAAAGCACUGCAAGGUCUUGAG
ensembl:lncRNA